AUGAGGAAACCAAGACGCAGAGAAGUCAAGGGGUUUUAUUCAAAGUCACACGAGAGGAAACCUUUUGACAGGAUGUCAGGAUCAGGACUAUAUAAAGUAGAUGAUGGAUGUCAUUAUCUCGCCAACUGCUUUCCAGCUAGAAGCAUAUUCAGGUCAAGAAAUGAAGGUAAAAGCCACUGGCUGGUGGCCCAAAAAGCUUCCUUAAAGAAGAAGUUCAAGCAAGUAGUGUGCCCACACACAGAAGUUCAGGAAGACCACAAAAAACCUUCCCUGGCACAGAUUCAAAGGAAGAAAUGGGCCUCGAUUGAAAGCCUGUUCCAUGUUCCUGAAAAGCACAUCUUAGAUCGGCCAUUUUUGCUGAAGCACCACAGUGUAAAGAGACCUACAGAUUUGUGUACUGUGAAUAUCAGCGGCCAGAAGAUUGCAAAAGCUAAGGAAAAGGACUUCAGGCACUUUGACGCUGUUGUUUUUAUCAAUGCAUCGGAAAACUUGUUACCUCUAGAGGUAUUUCACACAUUUCCUGCUUUAAAGGAACUGGAACUUUGUUUCAACGGAAUUAAAACUGUCAGCAUCAAGACAGGAGAAUUUCGAUUCUUGGAACACUUGGAUCUUUCAUUCAAUAAUUUGUCUCAAGAGGCCAUCCGUGAGCUGGGAAUUCUGCCUUGCCUUAAGAUAUUGCUUCUAACAGGCAAUGGGCUUACUUCGCUUCCUCCCAACAUGGCUGUCACAGAGCCGAACCUUUCCGUCAUCUGCCUGACCAAUAAGUGUUAUGUGCUAAGGUUCCAAGCUCUGGAGACACUCAUCUUAGAUGACAACAAACUCUCCAACCCUAGCUGUUUCGCCAGUCUGGCCGGACUCAAAAGACUGAAGAAAUUAAGCAUGGAACAAAACAAGAUUUUCCGGAUCCCAUACCUGCAGCAAGUUCAGUUACCCAAGUUCUGUGAUGAAUCAAGCAAGAGAAGGGUUGGUUCCCAGAAAGAAUCUAGCCCUAAACAGAAGCUAGCACAAGGUAUGAAUGGGGCCUUCCUGGAAAGCAAGUCGGGAAAAGGACAACCAGAUUAUGCCAUAUUAUCGAUGAAAAGGGAUGUGGACCGGACAGAGGUUAUAUUCCCAUCUUUCCCUGGAUAUUCAUCCAACCAGGCAAAUAAAGUCUAUCCACUUCCUCCCAUAUUUGAAAUUCUUCCUGUGAAGUCAUUGAAGGCCCUGAACCAGACAUGGGCUCCACCUUUCCCAGAGCUGAAAUAUCUUAGCCUGGCCCAUAACAAGAUCUCAAAUGAGGAUGCUCUCCUCCCUGUGGCUCUUUUCCCCUCUCUAAAUGAGCUAAUCUUCCACAACAAUCCAUUGGUGAUCCAUACAAAGGGUGAUCCGCCUUUGCUGUACAGCUUCCUCCAGAAAAGACUGGGGAUUUGCUUAAUUCGAAAGCCUACUGAGAAGCUCAAGCGUCCACACAUUUUAAUUCCUCGGAAGUCCAACUGGAAGGUGAGAACCCAAAUUCUGAAGGUCCCAAAGGCCCCCAUCAUACUAGAGCUGCCAACUCCGGAAGUGCCUGAUACACCAGCCCCGUCCACGUCUAGGCGGACCUUCACACCUCUCCCACCUAUCCAUUCCUCUGCAUCCACCAAAGAGGGCUCUCUGAAGACAGACACAUCCAAUGAGAUGACUGGUUCUGAGAUGGGGUCAGAUGAUGAUGUGAAGAGCGUAGAAUCCUUCUUCAUGACUCAGGUGACCAAGGUGCAGAGAACUCCCAGGAGCCACAAGGAAGCCAAGUCAUUGGAGGAGCACAAGGACAUGAGGGAGAAGGACAAAGAAGCAAAGAAACCAAGGAAACCAAGCACCCCCAUCCCAGAGAAGUACAAAGGUUAUGAGGAACUGAUCCAGACAAAGCCUGACCCCAGCUUCAUGGAGCCCGUGGGAAUCCAACAGAAUGUCAAGGCCCUGUACAAUUUGCUUAAGUAUCCGCUGAUCUAUCGCUCCUCCAAGGCCAAGCUUGACGCUUUCCAGAAUCCCUACUGCCCCAAGGAAAAGCAGGUCCCUUGGAGUAAAGUUCCUAGACCUCGGAAGACCCGAGCACAGUUAUUGGAGGAAAUCUUGUAUCAAAUGAGGAACCCCCAGCAAAUAGUGGACAGUCCACUGAGUUCUGUUCUGCGGAAGCGCGCUGAACGCAGGCUGGAGGAUCAGAAGCAAUAUCGGGAGGCCCAGCGCCUCCUGAAGGAGUUCAAGACCAGGUACAAGAGAGUGGUGAGGAGCUCCCUGAAGGAGGUCUUUGAUAAAGCCCCAAACUAUGAUGAGAUGGAAAGGAUGGAAGGCCGGCAGAGGCUCUUGGAAAUCCAAGGUUUUCUGCAAGAGUGUGAGGACGAAGAGGAGGACGCAGAGAACAAGGACUAUGUUUAGACCUUCUCAGGCUGUCCACCUGCUCACCUCUCUCUGGGGUCUUGCCCCUCCCAGGACACAGAGGUGACUCUGGGCUCUUGAAAGCUAUGCUGGGGAGGCAUGAGCUCUGGAAGAUCCAACCAACCUGUAGAUUUCAAAUGGGAUUGUAGACUUUAGAGCUGGAAGAGAUCCUAAGUCAUCUAGGCUAACUCUUUGCAAAUGAGGAGACUGAAACCAAGAGAGAUCAAGUUUCUAAGGAAACACAAGUAGAAAGAGGGAGAAUUGAGAUUCAACCCAGUCUUCAGACUCCAAAGCUAGUGUUCUUUCUCCUAUACCAGAGGUACGGGCCAUUGAUGUGUAUGGCAUAAGAAGACCAGCCAAGCUAAAUAUAGGGCGGUUCAUCUCCAGAAGACUGGCAACCAGGGAAUCUGUAUUUCCGGCUAAAACCCAUGAAAGUCUACUAAAGUGUGGGGAGGGGUCAGGGCCUAUCAUUGGAAAGAAUGACCCAUGCCCAUGGCAUCAAAGACCUUUCAGAGCACGGGAGCUCUGAAAGCACUGAAAUUCCAGAGCUCAAAGAAACCUCAGUAUCCAACCACUCUAGUUACUCCCUGAGAAGGAAUCAUCCAAUUCACCUGCCUCUACCUGUCCUCGUGAUAUGUAGUCCCAGCUCUGCCAAUGACUUGCCAUGUGACCAUGGCCAAAUCCCUUUUCCCCUCUGGGCUGCAAUCUCUCAUAUAAAAUGAGAGGUUUUCACUAAGUCAUCCUAAGAUCCUAUCAGCUUUGUCCUUCUAGUUUUAUGAUUAGCUCAUUUUCCCAGGACCUCUUGACCUGUGCCUACAAAUAGCUGGGCUAGUCACAUGCCACUGGUCAAGAGAAAUGCUUAGUGGAACAUAGGCAUUACAGCUAGAGGAAAGGGUAGGCUUCUUUGGGUCUUGGGGGGCAAGGGACUGGUGAAGACAAGAAAUACCUUCUUGAUGUUUCCUGUAGAAAGAGUGUUACAAAUGAUUAUUAGGUUCCUGAUUACAACAACGACAACAUUUAUUAACUAACAUUUAAAAAGCACUUACUAUAUGCCGGGCAUCAUUUAAUCCUCACAACCACUUUGGGAGGUAGGUGCUAUUAUUUUGUGGUUGACCUAAAAAAUUCCACAAUGUAGUUGAAAAAUGGUCACAUUGGGGAUGAAAUAGAUUUUUGUAGGCUAAACUGAGAACCUAACAAACCUUUUGUUUAUUCUGAAUCCCAAAGAAUGAAUGAAUUUUUGGAACACAACAGAACCACCCAUACUCAUAUACAGUCUUAAAAUGUCAGAGCUAAAACAGACCUUAUUGAAGUCAUCCUUUUGGGAACUAUGGUUCAGACAAAAAAACUGACCUGUGUCAGUGGCAAUGUCAAAAUUUGAACCCAGGUCUUCUGAUUCCAGUGCUCCUUUCUACUACACCCUAAAACUCACGCUAAGCAAACCUGGAACAGGCAGGGUUAGUACUUGGGUCCAUGCCAUUUUGAUGAAUGUGGCAAAGUGGAUUCCAAUCUUCCCUGCCUUACCAAAACACUAAGGGCAGGCAGGACACCUGCAGCAAGGAAGGCACUUUGUGGUCUCUAGUAUGGAAGUCAAAGGAAUGUCUGAGCUGACAGGGCUUUCCUGGCCAUCAGAAAGAGACACAAUUAGAAGUUAGAAGGAGUGGGCCUCUGGGUAUGCACAGCUGGGUCUGGAGAUGUCUUGCUACGGUGGGAAGGAAGAAGACGGCUAGGACUAAGCCUAAUCCAUUCAACAAAUCAGCCUCUGGGCAGAAAUCUAAGGGGCCACAGCCAAGUAACACACAUGGGCCUCAGCAUGUCAGCUACAGGCUGACCCAUAGGCUGACAGUUCCCUGGCAUCCAACCCAUGGGUUUUUCCUCCAGCUUCCUAAACACAACUCCAGAGAAUACAAAAUAGGGUGCCACAAACCUCAGGUGGCAGAAACACCAGUAAUCCUCAUCUGGAGCUAAGAGCUGGGGGCCAGAGGCUGCGGGUCAUCCAUUGCCUCAUUAUAUGUCAUUAAUAUUGUUUUUUUCUCCAAGUCCUGCCCAAGAGGAACAAGUCUUAAUUCCACUUUUACAGGAUAGACAUUCAAAUACUUGACUACACCUAUCAUCUUCCUAAGUUUCCUUCACCUGAACCAUAUCUAGCAAGGCCUUUGAACUGGUUGCCUUCCUCUGGAUACCCUCCAGUUUAUCCACAAGGAGUGUGUCAAUGUCUUUCCUAAAAUGUGGUAUCCACAAUGGAACAGAACCCUUCAGGAGUGUUCCAACUAUGGCAGAAGGCAGCAUUGCUCUUCACCAUUCUAGUCCCAGGGCCUCUGCCUCUCUUAGUGUAACUUAAGCCAUAUUCUAGUCUUUGGCUGCCAUAUCACAAUGGCAACUCCUGUUGAGCUUGCAGGCCACUAAAAUGGUCAGACCUUUUUCGGAUGAACUGCUACCUAACCCUGCCUCUUUCGUCUCCUAGUUUGAAGAUAAUUUGUUAAUCCCUGCUAAAUUCCUCCUAAUUAAAUUAAGCACAGUGUUCCAGGCUAUAUAUAAGAUUUUUUUAAUACCCUUUGUUCCAUCCAAUACGUUAGCGAUCCCUCCUAGCUUGGUGUCAUAAGUGUGUAAUUUAUGCCUUUAUCCUUUGAUAAACAGUGUUAAAUAACAAAUGCCCAAGACCAAUGUCCCUGGGAAAAGUUGGUAUUGAACGAAUCAUAAGUACUAACUGUUCAACCUGUUCAGACUCCCUUAGUUGUACCCUUGUGCACCAUCUUUCCACCUUGUCCAUAAGAACAGUAUGAGGGACAUUGUUAAAUAUUUUCCUGAAAUCUAGAUAAUCCACAGAAUUCCCUUAAUCUACCAGUCUACUAACUUUGUCAAAGGAAAUCAGGUUAGUCUGACAUCACAUGUUCUUAAUGAAGCCAUGAUAGCUCUUUGUGAUCACAGCUCCCCUUUCUAGAUAUUUCCUAACCAUCUCUUUAAUGAUAUAUCCUAGAAUUUUGCCAGACAUCAGUCAAGUUUACUGGCUAGAUGUCUGUGAGAUACUUUUUCUUGUUUAAAAAUAAGGAAAGCAUUUGUCUUUCUUCCCUUACCUCUCCAGUAGUGCAUGAUCUUUCAAAAAUCAAUGACCAUGGCUCAGUAAUCUCAUAUACCAGUUCUCCCAGCAUCCUAGGAUUUAGUGUGGCAGGAAGAGAUGGGGAGAUGCUGCCACACAGGCAGUCGAGCAACAGGUUAAUGACAGGCUAUAGGACAGGUUAUCUGAGUCAUCUGUCAGAGUCACAGAGCAGGCACUGGGUUUGCUGAAACCUCUCGAACUAGUGAGACUGAGGCUGGUGAUUCCUCCUCCUUCUCCCUCCUUUUUCCCUGAGAGAAGCAUGCCUCGUCUCUGAAGCUCUGAUUCUAAAGAGUUUAUUUGCUUUCUAUUCCCUUUUACUUUCUUAUAGCCAGUUUUCUAAGAUAAAUGUGGUUAACCACACUGUAUUACUAAUCUCUAUGUUUCAUUACUCAAAUACAGCAAAGAAAAAGGGAACGGGGAUAGAGAAAACACCUGAUACCUGAAAAGGAAGGAGGAUGGAGAGAGAAAAAGAGAGAGAGGGAGAAGGGGAAAGGGGAGGAUAGGGAUUAUGGGAUAGGAAAGAGGGAAAGAAAGGGAGGCAGGGCGAAAGAGGAGAUGAAAAAGGGUAAUGCUGCCCGCGUGCAAGUGGGGGGCAAUGAGAGGGAAUAAAUAACUAGUCCUCUUCAUCAGCCUAACUUAGCACUAGGAUGCUAGGCAGCAUAGUGGAUAAAACUAAUGAUAAUAAUAAUGACAUAAUAAUCAACUGUUAGCACUUCUAUAGCAUUUUAAGGUUUGCAAAGUAAUUUACAUAUGUUAACUUGAUAAGGUACUGAGCUUGAAGUCAGUACAGACAUGGGUUCAUUACCUUGUUUCAAAUACUUAUCAGCUGUGUGACCAUAGGCAAGUAACAAUUUCAGCCUCAGUUUUACCUCAUCUAUAAAAUAGGGAG